GACGAACGCUGGCGGCGUGCUUAACACAUGCAAGUCGAGCGGAAAGGCUCCUUCGGGGGUACUCGAGCGGCGAACGGGUGAGUAACACGUGAGUAAUCUGCCCUGCGCUCUGGGAUAGCCACCGGAAACGGUGAUUAGUACCGGAUAUGACCGCUACACGCAUGUGUUGGUGGUGGAAAGUUUUUCGGCGCAGGAUGUGCUCGCGGCCUAUCAGCUUGUUGGUGAGGUAAUGGCUCACCAAGGCUUUGACGGGUAGCCGGCCUGAGAGGGUGACCGGUCACACUGGGACUGAGACACGGCCCAGACUCCUACGGGAGGCAACAGUGGGGAAUAUUGGACAAUGGGCGGAAGCCUGAUCCAGCAACGCCGCGUGAGGGAUGACGGCCUUCGGGUUGUAAACCUCUUUCAGUACCGACGAAGCGAAAGUGACGGUAGGUACAGAAGAAGGACCGGCCAACUACGUGCCAGCCGCCGCGGUAACAC
rnacentral:rRNA from 1 species